GUCUCUCCAGAGGGCUGGGUGUCCUCGCACCGUGUGGCAGCCGCCCCCAGAGGGAUGAUUCAAAGCAGCCUCGGAGGCUCUGCCGACUGGUCCCGGAAAGCCAGCGCCGUCACCCCGGCUGCCUCCUGUGGGCACAGUCCUCCAUCCAGGCCCCACUCGAAAGGAAAACUGGCUCCACUUUGGGAAUGCCCCGGAGGACACAGACCCUGGACCCUGAGAGGAAGGGGAGGGGUGGCAGGUGCCAGACUAGGAUUGCUGUCUGGGCCACGACCCCCGGUCCCCUGGCAAGGGCACCGCUGGUCCUUCCUUCCACCCCAGCCCAGAAGUCUCCAGGCAGUGCCCCUUCCAGGCGACGCCUGCAGUCCUGCUGCCUGCCGACCCCGAAGCGGGAAGCAGCGCCGGAGGGCGAAGCAAAGGCCACGUGCUUGCUUUUAGAAAAGUACCCGCGUGGCCUGGGAGCGACAGAGGCCCACGCCCCCGGGGGUCAGGUGGGGCGAUACUCCCUUUCUCCUUUGCACUUUUCUAGGCUUUCCCAGUGUUCCUGCAGGGAGUGUCUAUUUGUUGAGUCUUUGCCUUUUUUCCAGUUGAGGUUAUGUUCACAUAACACGCACUUAGUAUGUAAAGUGUGCAACUCAGUGGCGUCCGUGCACUCCCAGUAUUGUGCAAACACCAGCCCUCGCUCGUCUCAGAACUUCUUCACCACCCCGUAAAGACCCUCCCCGGAUCCGAGACGUCGUCGCGCCCCGUUUCUCGCUCCCGAAUCCUCCGGGAAUGGCUGACCCGCGCCGCCCCCGUGGACCCGCCUCGUCCGGGUCUGCCACGUGAAAAGCACCCGGGGAGGGGGGCCGGCGGCCUUUGAGUCUGGCUGCUUUCACGCUGCAGUGUCCUCAGGUCCACGCACGUUGCCUCUGCCCCUUCACUCCCUUUAGGGGUGAACGCCAGCCCACAGUUGGAGGUCCAGUUCUCCGUGGACAUUGGGGUCAUUUCCCCCUUUUGGAGAUUGUCAGUAACGUGUCUAUGAACAGGAAAGGUUUUUAGUUUUGCUUUGUUUCGUUAUUGCCUUUUUUUCUUUUGGUCUUUUUAGGGCCACACCUGCGGCGUAUGGGGGUUCCCAGGCUAGGGGUCCAAUCAGAGCGGUAAGUGCUGGUCUACACCACAGCCACAGCCACAGCCACGCGGGAUCUGAGCCACCUCUGCGACCUACACCACAGUUCAUAGCAACGCGAGAUCCUCCACCCACUGAGCGAGGCCAGGGAUCGAACCUGAGUCCUCACGGAUGCUCGUCAGGUUCUUUAACCACUGAGCCACGAGCCAUGAUGGGAACUCCCCGUUUUUGUCUUUUCAGGGCCACAUGUGCAUCCUAUGGAAGUUCCCAGGCUAGGGGUCAAAUUGGAGCUGCAGCCACCGGCCUACACCACAGCCACAGCGAUGCAGGAUCCGAACCGCAUGUGCAACCUACACGGCAGCUCACGGCAACGCCGGAUCCUUAACCCACUGAGCGAGGCCAGGGGUCAAACCUGGGUGCUCAUGGAUCCUGGUCAGACUCAUUUCCACUGAGCCAACCCAGGGACUCCCCUGCUGCACCCUUGUAGGUUCCCAGCAGCACACGGGCAAGUUUCCGUCUUAGAAAAAUCAAACCAUCUCAACAGGCGCGAAGCGGUCUCGCAUUCUCAUUUUGAUUCGCAUUUCCCUUGUGACCAGUGACAGUGC
ensembl:lncRNA